GUAUUUCCUUCUUCUUUUGUUAAAAACAUGUUUGUGUAUGUAUACACUUGUACUAAGAAAAUAUCUUCAUUUUAGUUCCUUUUUUCUUUGUCAUGUGACAUAAGAAUUAUUGACUUCACAUCAGCAUUUAAGUGUUGUUAACUUUAUAAAACUUCACAGUAUUU